rnacentral:tRNA from 1 species
GCUCGGUUGGUAGAGCUCCCGCUUCGUAUGCGGGAAGAUCUGGGUCCGAUUCCCGG